UUACGGGUCGCUGUGUCUAUGUGAAGAUGUACACCUGUGAGUUUUUCAAGCUCAAUUAGAAAUAUCUUCCUACAAGGUUCCCAGAAUUAGUAUUGUGACAACAUAUUGGAAAUGAAAUUGUCAACAAAGGCUCAUAUUGCAUCAUCAGAAUCCACUUGACACUUUGUGGAGAGCGAGAGUCUCACUUUCAGAGAUUUAUAGGCUCCAGACUUAGUAUUAGAAAGUGUGUGUUUUGUGAAAGUUCAUCUAAAGAAACAAACCCCACCCAGUCGGCUGUUAAUGGCAAGCAUAUCUGAAAUACCAUCAAAUACCACCGUUUUGUCCUCCUGGUAUAUAUGUGUCUUUUCACUGUGUUUGGCCAAAGAUAAUUAUGAUGAUACUUCCUGGAGGACUUGGAGGACUGCCAGAACUGUCAUGAGAUGGUCUUUUGCCCUCCACCACGGGAAGAAACAGCAGGGUUCGGUACAAUAUGGAAGGCCAAUGAUGACAGAGGCAAGGCUACACUAUGGGAUUAAUUGUCUGUCUGGACCAUAGGACCCAAACUCCUGGAAGAAGCAGCACUGUCCAUUCUGUGAAGUAUGACUGACAAAAAGUCUUGACCUUGGGAAAGAUCUGAAGUGAGUUCAUAAAGGAGAUGCCAUUGGCAUCGCUUCCUUUCUUACAUGACCUAAUUGCAUGGAAAAGCCUGACCUAGGGUUACGUGAAACUGAAGAACAGUUGUUGAACAGUGUUUGAUGUUGUUUGGCAUUUGCCGAUUUUAUUGUUUAGUGUUUCUGUUGGGUAGUUAAUGUACAAAGUGGAGUAUGUGAGCCAAAGGGAAUGUUUUCUGAUGCUUAAUGCAGGGACAAUAAGGAAGUCAGAGAAAGUCCACUCUUAAAAUCUCAGUUCAUGCACUCUCCUUUCGAAAUCCAAGCAGGUUUCACUAACCCGCUGCGUUUAAUCUCAGUAUCUACUCUGUCAUUAAAGCACUGAUUUGUUCUUCUGUACUGAAAAUUACACUGUUCUCAUGGAAACUGCCAUCGCUUCUGAAGAAGACUAUAUCUAGCCUUUUAAACCUUUAUAAGUGGACAUUAAUGGCAUUAUAUAACUUUAAUGUAAAAUAAACAGGAAUGCUUGGAAAAAAACAACUGCAUUCACAGACUUUUAUUAGAGCCAGUAUACAGAGAGCCUGCAUUUGUGUGGCUGAGGAGACAUGUUUUACCUAUGUUUUCUGAGGCAAGUGUGCCAUAUAGUUUUAUUUCUGCCAGAA